GACUGCUCAGCAGACCUGGAGUUUGAAUUCUUUCUUUGUCUCUGUAGUCGUCUUUUGCAGGAGAUCUUACAGAGCUUAGGGCUCUCUUUCUUGCAGGGUGCUUACCUUUUCUGUGCUUUAAUUUUGAAAGUGUUCCCAUGCAGACAUCUGAGAUAAAUAUGAAGCACAAAGUAAACUUUUCCUGCCUUGGAGGGUCAGCCCCAGGCACCGUCCGUGUGCUGUGACUGAACACAGUUGCUUCACAUGAUUUUGUCAAGUUUUUGUUAUUUACAGAAGGAGUUCAUGGCCGAUGCCCAUCUGAACACUUUAUAGCCAAGGCUGAAUGUUGCUUAUUGCUUUCCCUGACUGUCACAUUAUUCAGACUUCACUGUAAUGUGGCUUUCUAUGGACACUGGACCUGCAGCAUCAUGAGUGCCCCAGGCGUAUCUCAGGCACUGUUUGCUCUCUUCAUAGCCUCUACUGCUUUGCACGGGUACAGAUUCAGCUCCUCUGCCCCACAGAGGAUGUACAUUAGAAGCAUGAUUCUGGAAGCAGAAGGCAACUGAACCUUCCAAAGCCUGCUGUUGGACUUCUCAACCUUCAGAAGCACAGUUCCUCUCCAGCUCCCAGCAGGACAUCACCAUGAACAAACAUAGAGGACUUCAUGAAGAUGAAUCCUGAUGAAAAGUACUAUUGGAGAAGGAGUUUUGCCGUCAGAGUUCCAAUGCCAGCCCAAAUAGUUGGGCUUAUUUAAUAGAAUUGCAGGUUGUUUUCCUCUCUGAAUUCACAAGAUCAUCAGGAAUGAGGAAGAUGGUGCUGACACUCCAAGGGGAGAGCAGAAGAAAUCAAAGUACAUGAAUAAUCAAAUCAGAAGUCAUCUUGAAUUAGUGCUAAAUUCAAACCAUUAUGAUGUUCAGUACUGGAAUAUAAUCCCAACGACUAUGGCAAUACUGAUGGCAAAAGAGACAUGAUGUUUUGGGAAAAUCACCUUCACUUGCAGGGCAACACUUACCCACACGUGCUUCUCUCCUAACUCAUCACCCCCUUUGCCUCAGACGUAUCUUUUUCUAGUCUUCCUAACUAGUGUUAGUUAUGAACCAGUAGUAGUCAGCCUCAGAGAACAGUUAGUCUGCCUGGGCGAAGACAGGCUCAGUGAAAGGAAUACAUAUGCAAGGAAUACUUUUAGUGCUUGAAAUAUUCCCGAGGGUGUCUACAUACAUCCAGGCAAUAGAAGUACCUUGGCCCCUCAGAGACAAAGUAAGUCCAAGCAGAGCUCAGGGCCCCUUCAUACCUGAGCAGCCAGUCCUUGAGGCACAGGGGCUCAGUCUCCUGGAUUGCCCCCUGGAGCACCUGAAUUUCAACCAACAAGACAGGCCCACUGGGCAGGUGCUCUGACCUCCCACUGAUGCUUCACUAUCACUUAGAAUCAUCAUAAGGCAAAACGUGGAAGGCAAAGAAGGAGGAAGGCUGGUUAAAGACAAAUGGUUGUAAAAUAAAUAACGGAAUGGAGCUUGGCACAGGAUGUGAUGGUUUUUGAGCACCAAGGUUCCCAUGUUCAGCUAGAGUGGAAUAUUUAUUGUCUGUUGGCAACUAGAUUUAGGGUUGCAGGUCAUUUGAGUUUUUAGAAAUGAGAGUUUCAUAAUUUUAUGUUGAAUCUGUUAUUAAAUGGCAACAAUAUUAUGAAGACACUCUUGUGGCACAAAUACAAGAUACAUUUGAAGUAUUAGGCUGCACCUUGAGUUUUAGAAUUCAGACAUGUUUAUAACAUAGAUGUUUCUGGCUCUCCACUUCCUAAAAACAUACACUUGCUAGCAGCAAGUGCCUGGACUUUAGGAGUGCCUGGAGAGCAGAGGCUCCUCUUUCCUUUCGCAAAGGGAAAGCCAAACCCUAGUGUCAAAAUUUCAUAUCCUAGUCCUCUUCUCUUGAGCUUCUGACAAACAGUCAGGCUUCCUGAGAGCAAAGGCUACAUUAGCUUUCUUAAACAAUCUGACGAAAGUCUUUCUCAUCUCUGAGACAAUGGGUACCAAAGAAUUCUGCCAUAAAAUCAACAACUAUCAGAAACAGAGCCUGACAGGUGCUAGUGGUCAGAGAUUGCCAGCCUUCCAAUCGAUCGCAAGUGACCUCUCAACUGUUUAAUGACCUUAAUAUUUUACAAAACUUUUUUAUGUACAGCAUUUCAUUAGCUUCUUUUGAAGAAGAAAUAUUAUCUCUCUAUUACAAGUAAAUAAAGUGACACUCACAAAAGUGAACUAUCAAGCGAGUUUAUGAAGCUGGAAAGAAGUGACUUGUGGGUUGUGAUCUCCAGCCCAUGGAGUUUUUCAUCAAAUAAUCCAUUAUUGUCUGCAGGGCCACACAUGUAGUCUAGCUCUGUUUCACUAAAUUCCCACAAAACCUUGCAAAGGAAAAUCAUUCGUGGUAUAAUCUAAUUUAAAUGGCAACAUUUUUCAUAGCCAAAGUACUAUUUGUGACAGUGCUUACCAUAUGUCUCCAGUCAUAAUUGUAAAACUCAAAACUAAGGUAUUA